AAGCAAACUCGUUCUAUCGCUGGCCUUUAUCGAAUAAGGCGAGAGGAAAGUCCGGGCAACACAGAGCAACACGCUUCCUAACAGGAAGGAUGCCUUCGGGUAGACAGCAAGUGCCACAGAAAUGAUACCGCCAUGGCAACAUGGUAAGGGUGAAAACGUGAGGUAAGAGCUCACGGAUUUGUAUGGUAACAUACAUCUCGGUAAACCUCGUGUGUUGAAAAACCAAAUAGGUUGUGAGAGUCGAAAGCUGCUCGUUUUCUUCCUUCGGGACCUCACAAUGGGUAGGUUGAUGGAGGUUAUGCGCGAGCAUAAUCCUAGAUAAAUGAUAGAAAUCCCCUCGGGGAUACAGAACCCGGCUUAUAAAGUUUGCUUCUUU
rnacentral:RNase_P_RNA from 1 species